rnacentral:rRNA from 1 species
UACGUAGGGUGCGAGCGUUAAUCGGAAUUACUGGGCGUAAAGCGUGCGCAGGCGGCUUUGCAAGACAGAUGUGAAAUCCCCGGGCUCAACCUGGGAACUGCAUUUGUGACUGCAAGGCUAGAGUACGGCAGAGGGGGAUGGAAUUCCGCGUGUAGCAGUGAAAUGCGUAGAUAUGCGGAGGAACACCAAUGGCGAAGGCAAUCCCCUGGGCCUGUACUGACGCUCAUGCACGAAAGAGUGGGGAGCAAACAGG